GCCCUCUAUUUUAUAAAAUGAAAGAAAUGUUAACAACUAGCAAAAAAUUUCGAUAUAAUUUUUAUAUUUGUAAAAAACUAAAUGCUUUAUUUUUAACGUCAACAUGGAGAGGAAUACUGUUUUGUGAGAUACCAUACCACUUAUGAGGAGCAAUGGUGCCAAGAUACCACACCACUAUACCACAAUACUGAUGAUGACCAAUUGUACAAGGUACCACACCACUGAAGAGUAAUGGUGCAAGAUACCAUAUCACUGUUGAGGACCAAUGAUGCAAGAUGCCACACCCCUGAUGAGGAGCAAUGGUGCAAGAUACCACACCACUGAUGAGGACAAAUGUUGCAAGAUACCACACCACUGAUUAGGACCAAUGGUGCAUGAUACCACACCACUGAUGAUGAUAAGCAUUCAGUUUCCACACAGCCCGAGUUGAGUCAUUGAAAUGAAAGUCUUAGAAUGUAAAUUGAAGCUGAACAUUUCCAAAAAUCUGUAACCUAUCAAAAACCUUGUGAAAAACACAAUGAAGAUUUUAAAAACAAAAAUUCUUUGCUUUUUUCUGGCAUCAUAAAACUAUAAUUGUAAACAAAUUCUGAAUAGUAGGAAAUGUUCAAUUCAAUUGUCAUUGUAUGCUUGUUGUGAAUUUUUCAUUUCAGGAGAAUUUUAUUCACUAUCAACAAUAUGAAAAUGGAGAAUAUUAUACAUAUGUCAUUAUAUUUGGAAAAUAUUUCAUUUUCAUUGAGACAAAUAUUAAUUCAGAAUUCUUUAUUGUUAUAACAUUGAUAGUUCCCUUAAAAUUCUUAUUUUUGCAUGAUUUACAUUAAUUCAAUUGAAAUUAAGAAAUGUUUACUUCUAAUAUCCCUUUGUUAAACAAACCUUGUGCUACACAAUUUGUAAUAUUCUCUUCCAUUUUCAUAUGUUGUUAAAAUCUAGAUUAAGUGAUGUUUUUAGAAAGUGUUGAUGAUUAAAAAGCUUUUAACUGUAAAUUUGUAAAUUUAUCUGAAGCACUGGUAAAUUUCUUAUCAAAAUUAAAUUUGGGAAAAUUUUAUAUAAGUAUUUUCAAAUUAAUGUGUUUCUUUUGCAUAAAUACAAUUCAUCAAUGUGCUUUAUAAUUUAGAUGAAAUAAACAUCUAAUAUGUGCAGUAUACAUUUUUAAAUUGGUCAAUUAAAAAAAAAUGCAACAAAACUUGUGUUAUAAAUAUAUUGUUAACAUAUGACAUUGUGGUGCUUCUGAUAGGUAGAAUAUUUUCUUUUGUUAUAAAAUGCAUUGUACAUUAUAUCUUACCAAAUAUGGAAAAGGAGAACAUAAUUUUUGUUUACAUAAUUAAACCAUUCAAUAGCAUUUAAUUUUAAAAAAUUACUUACCACAAUAUAUUUCUUAAAAUUUAAUUAAACAUUCUUAAAAAUUGUAUUUGAGGAAAUAAGAGUCUCCUUUUUCAUGUUUUGAUAUAUAAUUUUUGCAAAGGUGUAUGUAUAUCUAUUGUUUAUAAUUAUAAUAUUAACUUUACUUCGGAAAAU